ensembl:miRNA gmo-mir-301c gmo-mir-301c
CCAUGAUGACGUUGCACUACUGUUCCAAACGCCCAAGCAGUGCAACAGUAUUGUCAUAG